rnacentral:rRNA from 1 species
GAUGAACGCUGGCGGCGUGCCUAAUACAUGCAAGUCGAGCGAACAGAUGAGGAGCUUGCUCCUCUGACGUUAGCGGCGGACGGGUGAGUAACACGUGGAUAACCUACCUAUAAGACUGGGAUAACUUCGGGAAACCGGAGCUAAUACCGGAUAAUAUAUUGAACCGCAUGGUUCAAUAGUGAAAGACGGUUUUGCUGUCACUUAUAGAUGGAUCCGCGCCGCAUUAGCUAGUUGGUAAGGUAACGGCUUACCAAGGCAACGAUGCGUAGCCGACCUGAGAGGGUGAUCGGCCACACUGGAACUGAGACCCGGUCCAGCCUCCGACGGGGGGCAGCAGUAGGGAAUCUUCCGCAAUGGGCGAAAGCCUGACGGAGCAACGCCGCGUGAGUGAUGAAGGUCUUCGGAUCGUAAAACUCUUUUAUUAGGGAAGAACAAAUGUGUAAGUAACUAUGCACGUCUUGACGGUACCUAAUCAGAAAGCCACGGCUAACUAC